rnacentral:rRNA from 1 species
UACGGAGGGUGCAAGCGUUGUCCGGAUUUAUUGGGUUUAAAGGGUGCGUAGGCGGCUUAUUAAGUCAGGGGUGAAAGACUGCAGCUCAACUGUAGCAGUGCCUCUGAUACUGAUGAGCUUGAGUACAGAUGAGGCUGGCGGAAUGGGUGGUGUAGCGGUGAAAUGCGCAGAUAUCAGGAGGAACACCUAUGGCGAAGGCAGCUCGCUGGGACGGUACUGACGCUGAGGCGCGAAAGCGUGGGGAGCGAACAGG